rnacentral:rRNA from 1 species
AUUGAACGCUGGCGGCAGGCCUAACACAUGCAAGUCGAGCGAGCGGCGGACGGGUGAGUAAUGUCUGGGAAACUGCCUGAUGGAGGGGGAUAACUACUGGAAACGGUAGCUAAUACCGCAUACCAUCAGAUGUGCCCAGAGGGGAUUAGCUAGUAGGUGGGGUAACGGCCCACCUAGGCGACGAUCCCUAGCUGGUCUGAGAGGAUGACCAGCCACACUGGAGCGGGGACACGGUCCAGACGCCUGCGGGAGGCAGCAGUGGGGAAUGUUGCACAAUGGGCGCAAGCCUUGUACAGCCAUGCCGAGUGUGUGAAGAAGGCCUUCGGGUUGUAAAGCACUUUCUGCGGGGAGGCGUUACCCGCAGAAGAAGCACCGGCUAACUCCGUGCCAGCAGCCGCGGUAAUAC